rnacentral:rRNA from 1 species
AAGAGUUUGAUCCUGGCUCAGAUUAAACGCUGGAGGUAUGCUUUACACAUGCAAGUUGAACGAUUUUUAAACAAAUAGUAGCAAACGGGUGAGUAAUAUAUUGGAACAUGCCUUUGAGAGGAAAAUAAGGAAAUGAAAAUUUCCGUAAAUUUCCAUAAAAUCACUUAAUUAAAAGUGAUAAAAGAAUACAAAAAUAUUUUUGUUUUUUGCUUAUAGAUUGGCCAAUACCAGAUUAGUUAGUUGUUAGUUUAAUAUACUUACAAGACAUUUAUCUGUAGCUGUUCUGAGAGGAAAAUCAGCCACAUUGGGACUGAGACAAGGCCCAAACUUCUACGGAAGGCAGCAGUGAGGAAUAUUGGACAAUGAGCGCAAGCUUGAUCCAGCAAUACCAAGUGUGCGAAGAAGGUUUAACUGUAAAGCACUUUUAUUUGGGAAUAAUUUACAUUGUAAUUGAAUGUACCAAAUGAAUAAGCACUGGCUAAUUACGUGCCAGCAGCCGCGGUAAUACGUAAAGUGCAAGCGUUAAUCGGAUUUAUUGGGCGUAAAGGGUGUGUAGACUGUUUAUUGUGAAAUAUGUGAAAUACUAUUAAAUAGUAAGCAUAUUUAACUAGUAUUCUUGAAUAUAAUAGGGGAGAGUAGAAUUUUGCAUGUAGUAGUGAAAUGCGCAAAUAUGCAAAGGAAUACCAAUAGCGAAGGCAACUCUCUGGGUUAAAAUUGACGUUGAAACACUAAAGCGUGGGUAGCAAACAGGAUUAGAUACCCUGGUAGUCCACGCCCUAAACGAUGUCAACUAGUUGUUAGAUUUAAUUUAAACCUAAAUUUAGUAACAAAGCUAACGCGUUAAGUUGACCGCCUGGGGAUUACGAUCGCAAGAUUAAAACUCAAAGGAAUUGACGGGGAUCCGCACAAGCGGUGGAUGAUGUGGAUUAAUUCGAUGUAACACGAAAAACCUUACCUACUUUUGACAUGUAUAGAAUUUAUUUGAAAAAAUAAAGUGCCAAGGAACUAUAACACAGGUGCUGCAUGGCUGUCGGCAGCUCGUGUCGUGAGAUGUUGGGUUAAGUCCUAUAACGAGCGAAACCCUUGUUUCAUGUAUGCUAUAAAGCACUCAUGAAAUACUGCCGAUUAAAAAUCGGAGGAAGGAGAGGAUGACGUCAAGUCCUCAUGGCCCUUAUAAGUAGGGCUUCACACAUCAUACAAUGGUUGAUACAAAUAGUUGCAAUUCUGCAAAGAUGAGCUAAUCUAACAAAAUCAAUCUCAGUUCGGAUUGCACUCUGAAACUCGAGUGCAUGAAGUUGGAAUCGCUAGUAAUCGCAAAUCAGCAUGUUGCGGUGAAUACGUUCUCGGAUCUUGUACACACCGCCCGUCACACCAUGGAAGUAGGUUUCGUUGGAAGUAAUCUAAAAGUUAUCAAUACGAAAUUUAUGACUGGGGUGAAGUCGUAACAAGGUAGCUGUACUGGAAGGUGCGGCUGGAU